rnacentral:misc_RNA from 1 species
UACGAAGGGCCCGAGCGUUAAUCGGAAUCACUGGGCUUAAAGGGUGCGCAGGCGGACCUGUAAGUGUCUUGUGAAAUCCCACGGCUCAACCGUGGAAUUGCUUGGCAAACUACAGGUCUUGAGCCCGACAGAGGUCGUCGGAACGCUAGGUGGAGCGGUGAAAUGCGUAGAUAUCUAGCGGAACGCCAAAGGUGAAGACAGGCGACUGGGUCGGCGCUGACGCUCAGGCACGAAAGCAUGGGUAGCGAACGGG